CACUGGCCUUGGUCAUCAUCACCUUAGAGUUGGAGAGGCUCAUGCCCGACUGGUGUACUCCUAUAUCUGAUCUGCUAAAGAAAGCACAGGUCAGUAGUGAGCAGUUGAGCCACUGCAAGGAACUUGUAAAGCAGCACCUGAGAAGUUUGUAGUCCUCUUCCUGCUCAGACAACUUUGUUUCACUUCCCAGCCUCUGUGUCCCUACCCCAGUACCCUUUAGAGCAUCAUGGCAACCCCUUCUUGGUGGGAUGCCUCUAAAUUCUAGGCUUUAUGGAUCCUGUAACAAUAAAGGAAGAAGGCACUGGAAGGCAA